rnacentral:rRNA from 1 species
UCGGGAAUAUUGCGCAAUGGAGGAAACUCUGACGCAGUGACGCCGCGUAUGGGAAGAAGGUUUUCGGAUUGUAAACCAUUUUAGACAGGGAAGAAAAAAAGACAGUACCUGUAGAAUAAGCUCCGGCUAACUACGUGCCAGCAGCCGCGGUAAUACGUAGGGAGCGAGCGCUAUCCGGAUUUAUUGGGUGUAAAGGGUGCGUAGACGGGAAAACAAGUUAGUUGUGAAAUCCCUCGGCUUAACUGAGGAACUGCAACUAAAACUAUUUUUCUUGAGUACUGGAGAGGAAAGUGGAAUUCCUAGUGUAGCGGUGAAAUGCGUAGAUAUUAGGAGGAACACCAGUGGCGAAGGCGACUUUCUGGACAGAAACUGACGUUGAGGCACGAAAGUGUGGGGAGCAAACAGG